GAUCAUGGCUCAGGACGAACGCUGGCGGCGUGCCUAAUACAUGCAAGUCGAACGAACUCUGGUAUUGAUUGGUGCUUGCAUCAUGAUUUACAUUUGAGUGAGUGGCGAACUGGUGAGUAACACGUGGGAAACCUGCCCAGAAGCGGGGGAUAACACCUGGAAACAGAUGCUAAUACCGCAUAACAACUUGGACCGCAUGGUCCGAGCUUGAAAGAUGGCUUCGGCUAUCACUUUUGGAUGGUCCCGCGGCGUAUUAGCUAGAUGGUGAGGUAACGGCUCACCAUGGCAAUGAUACGUAGCCGACCUGAGAGGGUAAUCGGCCACAUUGGGACUGAGACACGGCCCAAACUCCUACGGGAGGCAGCAGUAGGGAAUCUUCCACAAUGGACGAAAGUCUGAUGGAGCAACGCCGCGUGAGUGAAGAAGGGUUUCGGCUCGUAAAACUCUGUUGUUAAAGAAGAACAUAUCUGAGAGUAACUGUUCAGGUAUUGACGGUAUUUAACCAGAAAGCCACGGCUAACUACGUGCCAGCAGCCGCGGUAAUACGUAGGUGGCAAGCGUUGUCCGGAUUUAUUGGGCGUAAAGCGAGCGCAGGCGGUUUUUUAAGUCUGAUGUGAAAGCCUUCGGCUCAACCGAAGAAGUGCAUCGGAAACUGGGAAACUUGAGUGCAGAAGAGGACAGUGGAACUCCAUGUGUAGCGGUGAAAUGCGUAGAUAUAUGGAAGAACACCAGUGGCGAAGGCGGCUGUCUGGUCUGUAACUGACGCUGAGGCUCGAAAGUAUGGGUAGCAAACAGGAUUAGAUACCCUGGUAGUCCAUACCGUAAACGAUGAAUGCUAAGUGUUGGAGGGUUUCCGCCCUUCAGUGCUGCAGCUAACGCAUUAAGCAUUCCGCCUGGGGAGUACGGCCGCAAGGCUGAAACUCAAAGGAAUUGACGGGGGCCCGCACAAGCGGUGGAGCAUGUGGUUUAAUUCGAAGCUACGCGAAGAACCUUACCAGGUCUUGACAUACUAUGCAAAUCUAAGAGAUUAGACGUUCCCUUCGGGGACAUGGAUACAGGUGGUGCAUGGUUGUCGUCAGCUCGUGUCGUGAGAUGUUGGGUUAAGUCCCGCAACGAGCGCAACCCUUAUUAUCAGUUGCCAGCAUUAAGUUGGGCACUCUGGUGAGACUGCCGGUGACAAACCGGAGGAAGGUGGGGAUGACGUCAAAUCAUCAUGCCCCUUAUGACCUGGGCUACACACGUGCUACAAUGGAUGGUACAACGAGUUGCGAACUCGCGAGAGUAAGCUAAUCUCUUAAAGCCAUUCUCAGUUCGGAUUGUAGGCUGCAACUCGCCUACAUGAAGUCGGAAUCGCUAGUAAUCGCGGAUCAGCAUGCCGCGGUGAAUACGUUCCCGGGCCUUGUACACACCGCCCGUCACACCAUGAGAGUUUGUAACACCCAAAGUCGGUGGGGUAACCUUUUAGGAACCAGCCGCCUAAGGUGGGACAGAUGAUUAGGGUGAAGUCGUAACAAGGUAGCCGUAGGAGAACCUGCGGUUGGAUCAC
rnacentral:rRNA from 2 species